GACGAACGCUGGCGGCGUGCCUAAUACAUGCAAGUAGAACGCUGAAGGAGGAGCUUGCUUCUCUGGAUGAGUUGCGAACGGGUGAGUAACGCGUAGGUAACCUGCCUGGUAGCGGGGGGUAACUCUUGGAAACGAUAGCUAAUACCGCAUAAUAUUUACUAUUGCAUGAUAGUCAGUUGAAAGGGGCGGCUGUACCACUACCAGAUGGAGCAGCGGUGUAUUAGCUAGUUGGUGGGGUAAAGGCGCACCAAGGCGACGAUACAUAGCCGACCUGAGAGGGUGAUCGGCCACACUGGGACUGAGACACGGCCCAGACUCCUACGGGAGGCAGCAGUAGGGAAUCUUCGGCAAUGGACGGAAGUCUGACCGAGCAACGCCGCGUGAGUGAAGAAGGUUUUCGGAUCGUAAAGCUCUGUUGUAAGAGAAGAACGAGUGUGAGAGUGGAAAGCUCACACUGUGACGGUAUCUUACCAGAAAGGGACGGCUAACUACGUG
rnacentral:rRNA from 1 species